UGAAGGUAACACCCGUUCCCAUGCCGAACACGAAGGUUAAGCUUCA
rnacentral:rRNA from 1 species